AGUUAAUGAACUUGUUUAAGUAUAUGUUUUGAAAACAUAAUAAAGAGGUAAAUUCCUCUAUUAACUU
rnacentral:tRNA from 1 species